rnacentral:rRNA from 1 species
CUCAGAACGAACGCUGGCGGCAGGCCUAACACAUGCAAGUCGAACGCCCCGCCAAGGGGAGUGGCAGACGGGUGAGUAACGCGUGGGAACAUACCCUUCGGUUCGGAAUAGCUCAGGGAAACUUGGAUUAAUACCGGAUACGUCCGUAAGGAGAAAGAUUUAUCGCCGAAGGAUUGGCCCGCGUCUGAUUAGCUUGUUGGUGAGGUAAUGGCUCACCAAGGCGACGAUCAGUAGCUGGUCUGAGAGGAUGACCAGCCACAUUGGGACUGAGACACGGCCCAAACUCCUACGGGAGGCAGCAGUGGGGAAUAUUGGACAAUGGGCGAAAGCCUGAUCCAGCCAUGCCGCGUGAGUGAUGAAGGCCUUAGGGUUGUAAAGCUCUUUUACCCGGGAAGAUAAUGACGGUACCGGGAGAAUAAGCCCCGGCUAACUUCGUGCCAGCAGCCGCGGUAAUACGAAGGGGGCUAGCGUUGUUCGGAAUUACUGGGCGUAAAGCGCACGUAGGCGGAUUUGUAAGUCUUGUGUGAAAUCUCCGGGCUCAACUCGGAGCCUGCACGAGAAACUGCCGGGCUUGAGUGUGGGAGAGGUGAGUGGAAUUCCCGGUGUAGCGGUGAAAUGCGUAGAUAUCG